rnacentral:rRNA from 1 species
ACGGAAGUUACAAAGGGCGCAUGGAGGAUGCCUUGGCUCUUGGCGGCGAGGAAGGACGUGCUAAGCUGCGAAAAGCUGCGGGGAGUUGCACAGAAGCUGUGAUCCGCAGAUGUCCGAAUGGGGAAACCCGGCUGGUUGAAGACCAGUCACACCGCAAGGUGAGCAAACCCGGAGAACUGAAACAUCUAAGUACCCGGAGGAAGAGAAAACAACAGUGAUUCCGUAAGUAGUGGCGAGCGAACACGGAUAAGCCCAAACCGUUAUUGUUACGGCAAUAGCGGGGUUAUAGGACAUUCUUUUAGUUAGUUACAGGAAGAAGAACAUGAUUGGAAAAUCAGACCAGAGAGGGUGAUAGUCCCGUACUUGCAAAUGUAAUUAAUGUGAGUGUAUCCUGAGUAAGCCGGGGUUGGAGAAGCCCCGGUUGAAUUUGCCGGCACCAUCCGGUAAGGCUAAAUACGACCAAGAGACCGAUAGUGAAUCAGUACCGUGAGGGAAAGGUGAAAAGAACCGUGCGUAACGGAGUGAAAAGAACCUGAAACCAUGCGCUUACAAGCGGUCGGAGCCCUUUCGUGGGGUGACGGCGUGCCUUUUGCAUAAUGAGCCUACGAGUUACUCUUACUGGCAAGGUUAAAUGUGUUAACACAUGCAGCCGAAGCGAAAGCGAGUCUGAACAGGGCGCUUAGUCAGUAGGAGUAGACGCGAAACUUUGUGAUCUACCCAUGAGCAGGUUGAAGGUACCGUAACAGGUAGUGGAGGACCGAACCAGUAAACGUUGAAAAGUUUUUGGAUGACUUGUGGGUAGGGGUGAAAGGCCAAUCAAACUGAGAAAUAGCUCGUACUCCCCGAAAUGCCUUUAGGGGCAGCCUCUUGUGAUGUUAUACCGAGGUAGAGCGACGGAUAGAACUAGGGGGAGUCACAUCCUACCAAAUUCUGCCCAACUCCGAAUGCGGUGUAAUUAACAAGGGAGUGAGGGCUGGGGUGCUAAGGUCCCAGUCCGAGAGGGAAAGAACCCAGAUCAUCCGCUAAGGUCCCUAAAUCAGGACUAAGUUGAACAAAGGAAGUCUAUCUGCAUUGACAGCCAGGAUGUUUGCUUGGAAGCAGCAAUUCAUUUAAAGAGUGCGUAACAGCUCACUGGUCGAGCGGAUGGGGCAUCGAUAAUAAACGGGCAUCAAGUUUUGUACCGAAGCGAUGAAUGUAUGUAAAUACGUGGUAGGGGAGCAUUCUUCCGGCAUCGAAGCUGUGAUGUAAGUCAUGGUGGAGCUUGAAGAAAAGCAAAUGUAGGCAUAAGUAACGAUAAAGCAGGCGAGAAACCUGCUCACCGUAAGACUAAGGUUUCCUGAUCAACGUUAAUCGGAUCAGGGUUAGUCGGGGCCUAAGGGGUUAGCGAAGGCGAAGCCCUGAUGGACAACUGGUUAAUAUUCCAGUACUUAGUAAAUGAGCCAUCAAGUGACGGAGGGGCGCGUUAGCUGCGGACAGACGGAAUUGUCCGUUAAAGUGAGUGAAAGCUCAUGAUAGUACACUACGUCUUCGGACAGAGUGAUAAUGCUAAGAAGCCACUUCCAAGAAAAGCUUGGGAAGCAAUUGUUUACUGACCCGUACCGUAAACCGACACAGGUAGUCGGGUAGAAUAUACUCAGGUGCUCGAGUGAGUCACGGCUAAGGAACUCGGCAAAUUAACCCUGUAACUUCGGGAAAAGGGGAACCACAGCAAUGUGGUCGCAGAGAAAUGGCCCAGGCGACUGUUUAACAAAAACACAGGGCUUUGCCAAAACGAAAGUUGACGUAUAAGGCCUGACACCUGCCCGGUGCUGGAAGGUUAAGAGGGGAUGUUAGUCGCAAGGCAAAGCAUUGAAUCGAAGCCCCAGUAAACGGCGGCCGUAACUAUAACGGUCCUAAGGUAGCGAAAUUCCUUGUCGGGUAAGUUCCGACCUGCACGAAUGGUGUAACGAUCUGGGCACUGUCUCGGCCGUGAGCUCGGUGAAAUUGUAGUAGCGGUGAAGAUGCCGCUUACCCGCAACGGGACGGAAAGACCCCGUGCACCUUUACUAUAGCUUAACGUGGGUGCUGGGUCAAGCAUGUGUAGGAUAGGUGGGAGACUGCGAACCGGUGUCGCCAGGCAUCGGGGAGUCAACGUUGAAAUACCACCCUUGCUUGAUUUAGCGCCUAAUCCUUAGUUGGAGACAGCGUUUGGUGGGUAGUUUGACUGGGGUGGUCGCCUCCAAAAAAGUAUCGGAGGCUUCUAAAGGUUCGCUCAGUACGCUUGGUAACCGUACGCAGAGUGCAAUAGCAAAAGCGAGCUUGACUGUGAGACCGACAAGUCGAGCAGGUAGGAAACUAGAGUAUAGUGAUCCGGUGGUUCCGCAUGGAAGGGCCAUCGCUCAAAGGAUAAAAGGUACGCCGGGGAUAACAGGCUGAUCUCCCCCAAGAGCUCACAUCGACGGGGAGGUUUGGCACCUCGAUGUCGGCUCGUCACAUCCUGGGGCUGGAGAAGGUCCCAAGGGUUGGGCUGUUCGCCCAUUAAAGUGGCACGCGAGCUGGGUUCAGAACGUCGUGAGACAGUUCGGUCCCUAUCUGUUGUGGGCGUAGGAUAUUUGAAGAAGUGCUGACCUUAGUACGAGAGGACCGGGUUGGACGGACCGCUGGUGUAGCUGUUGUCAUGCCCAUGGCAGUGCAGCGUAGCUAUGUCCGGAUGAGAUAAGCGCUGAAAGCAUCUAAGUGCGAAACUCACUUCAAGAUGAGAUAUCCAUAUAGGACCGUUGGAGAUGACAACGUAGAUAGGCGAUAGGUAUACGCAUAGCAAUAUGUUCAGCCAAGUCGUACUAAUGAUCCGAAGACUUCCGUUU